AUUGAACGCUGGCGGCAGGCCUAACACAUGCAAGUCGAGCGGAUGAAGGGAGCUUGCUCCUGGAUUCAGCGGCGGACGGGUGAGUGAUGCCUAGGAAUCUGCCUGGUAGUGGGGGAUAACGUCCGGAAACGGGCGCUAAUACCGCAUACGUCCUGAGGGAGAAAGUGGGGGAUCUUCGGACCUCACGCUAUCAGAUGAGCCUAGGUCGGAUUAGCUAGUUGGUGGGGUAAAGGCCUACCAAGGCGACGAUCCGUAACUGGUCUGAGAGGAUGAUCAGUCACACUGGAACUGAGACACGGUCCAGACUCCUACGGGAGGCAGCAGUGGGGAAUAUUGGACAAAGGGCGAAAGCCUGAUCCAGCCAUGCCGCGUGUGUGAAGAAGGUCUUCGGAUUGUAAAGCACUUUAAGUUGGGAGGAAGGGCAGUAAGUUAAUACCUUGCUGUUUUGACGUUACCAACAGAAUAAGCACCGGCUAACUUCGUG
rnacentral:rRNA from 1 species